GUAAGCAGGAUGCAUGCAUUUGCCAUCAUUUCAAAAACCAGUCUCUGCAAGGCAUGAGAUUUGCAUACUAAUCGGUGUUAAGGAAUUUCCUGAUGAUGAGACAUUGUGUUUUUCUGACAUGGAUGGUUACAGAUGGUCCCACAGCAAGACCACCACAGGACACAGCUGAGCUAAUGUGUGAAAACACAUUUCAAAAAAUGGUGAUAAAGACCAAGGGAAAGGAACAGCAAGAUCCGAGAACAGGUCCACGAUGGAGCAGUCACACCUGAAGGAAAUGAAACCUGUGGAGGACUCAUGUUGGAACAGAGGAAACAAGAAGGAAGGAGCUGCAGGAGAGAAUAGUGAGAAACGAGUGGCAGAGAGAACAUGCUGUACCCUGACCCCAACCUACUGCACUGCCUAUUGCCUCACCAAAGAGACUGAGCAUAACCUGCAGCAAUAAGGACAGAAGCAGUAUUGGAUAAGGA